ACUCCUUCCGCUUCUUGCUCCGGCUUCUGCCGCCUUCCCCAAUGAAUUUCUGAAAUGAAAGGAGCCUAUUCCCUGCCUUUCCACCAGUGCAGAAUGAAAAUGAGAGCAAGGAACAGCAGAGCACAGGGUCUUGCUCUGAGUGAAUGCACCCCUCGUGCACCCGGGAGCUGAGACCUCAGCCUGCAGAAGCAGAAUCUCCGUGGUGGGAUCCAGAGCUUGUAUCUUGGCCAAGCCCUCCCAGAAGUUUCUAACAUACACUGAAGGUUCUCCUGCUUCAAGAGCCAAGAUCCUCAGGCACAAAAUCAGGCAACAGGAGUCCUGGGCUCUGCCCUUGCUUGUGGAGUUCUGGAAACGAAUGCAUUUGGAGUAGGUGAUGUUUAAUGAUCCUUUCUGUUCUCAAUUCCUGUAAUACAAAUAAACAAUAAAAUACUUACAUCUUUAUUAUUUA